ACAGAAUCCUGCAGAGAGACGGCAACACAGUGACCCGGCGGGCGCCACGACGGGGCUUCCGGAGACUUCCCCCAUCACGCGUCGGCUGCAGCCAGGCCCCAGCUCCAGGUUCCACGGCUGACGUCACAAUCGAGGAGGCUCCCUACUGGUGGACCCUGCGGCCCCCAAGAGUGCCGGGGGCUCCCAGGGCUCAGGAAGAGGGCCCGACCCGGACCGCUGGCCUGGGCCGUCAUCCUGAAUCCCACGGGAGCCCCCUCCUCUCUCUCGCGGGUGGCAGGGACGAUGUCAGGGCCCCGCCUGGACAGAAGGAGGCCGAGGGCCCCUGGGGCAGUGUGGACACCCGCACAGGCUGUGCCGGCCCCCACUCACCAUAUGCCUGUCGCAGCUCAGCGGGACGAGGACGUGGCAGCGCUUAUGGACCAGCAGUUUGCAGUUGAUGCACCUGUAGCCCUGCCUGGCGAGGCCCCAUAUCCUUUCACUGCACUGGCCACAGUACGCUCUCUGCACGGGACGAGAACAGCCGCUGUCAGCCGGGCCCGGUGCCCCCGGGGGCCCCGCCGCGCCGCGCAGACAUGCUGCACCGUCACGACGCGCAGCUGGGGCGGGAGGUGGCCCCGUCGCCUCAUCCAACCGGGACCAGGCCCCCGCCCAGGCUCGGCAGCUCCGUCCCAAGGUUGGGGGAACCGAGGGCCCCAAGGAGGGCGCUGGGGCUCUGCUCCUUGUGAGGGAAAAGGGGAGGCCCCGGCAGGCAGGGGUGAGGAGACCCCUCCACGGGCAGCGCCCCCCCUGCUUGCAGGGCCUGGAGUGGGAGUCGUAGCUCCUCCCAGGCUGCGCUCAGAACAGCCGAGGAGCCCCCUGUGGGUGGAGGGACCCAGGUGAGAAGCGGGUGGGAGAGCCGGCUGCCUGACCCUCGUCCAAACACCCACCUACACGACGACCACAGGAGCGACCCUGCCUGGCAUCAGGACGUGUCAGGAUUCUGAGCUGCUCUGGGGCUCCGUGCAAUUAUCUUGGUAUUUUUCUCAGCGUUUUAAAAGAUUUUAAAUGAUCAAUUUUUAUUCUUCUUGGUUCUGAACACCUGAAAUUCAUGAUCAUUUUUGGCUUGUUUGGAGAAGUUUUUGGAAUGUCACAAAAUGCGUGGAGGUGAGCGUGUGCAGAAGUCUGGUCACCCGCCCACCACUCGGCGUCCAAAGUCAUCUUCGCAAUUCCGUGGUGUCCGCACGUCGACAGGCUCCCCAUUUAGUUUUUUUCCAGCCAUAACUCGUUUUCGCGUUUUACCCUCUUUUGCUUUUUUUUUUUUUUUUAACAAAUUUCUUUCUUUUGAGAGAGUCUCAAAUUACUCCUGGAGAACAGAAAGGAUACACGGUACCAGCCGCGCAAUGCAGCUCAUUUAGGAAACAGAGCGAACCCUCACGAGGUGGGGGCCUGAGGCGCAGGACGGGCUGCUGGCGGCCAGCGGGCACCGAGAAGCCGAUCUCCCACCAGGAAGGAGCCCCCUCCCCAUACACAGAGCGCAUACGUCUCAGUCACGGCCACGUGGUCAGCACCUGGGACAGUGCCCAGCACACAGUGGGUGCCCAAUAAAGGUUUGCUGAAGACAAGUCCACAUGCGUGCGCCCGCGCCCCCCCCCCCGCUUUCAACGACGGUAACAGGAAAGAGAAGGAUGUACCCAAGUCCCCCACGUUGCUGGAACCAUCCCUCCCACAAGGAGGCCAACACGGGCUGUGGGACUCCCUCUGGGAACGGCCUGAGAUGCGGCAGCAAGGGCCAGACGGGGGGCUGGACAGAGGGCCAACUCCCCCCCCGACCUCCGACUCGGGCCAAUCCAGUUUAACGCCGGCCUUGGCACCUCUGCCCGAGGAGGGUGAGUGCUGAGCCACCCUCGCCAGGGUCCAGGCCAGGACAACGGGGGAUCAAGGGCAGCUGAGUUUGCCGGGUUUCAGCACCCGUCAGUCGCACCGAGGCCACGUGCAGGCAUCCCCCCAGGAGGGGCAGCCACAAUGUUGCCAAAGGCUCUUUAUUUCAAAACUAGAUUUGAAUUAUCAACGUUUCAAGAAACGUGCCACUAAAUAAUAAAACUUAGGGACUUCCCUGGUGGUCCCGUGGUUGACUUGGUGCUUUCACUGCCAUGGCCCGGGUUCAAUCCCUGGUCGGGGAACUAAGAUCCCGCGAGCUGCGGCCAAAAAAACCCAAUAAUGAUAAUAAAUAAAACUUA